rnacentral:lncRNA from 1 species
AGGAGGAGCGGGAGGACGCGCUGCCGCCGGCCCCGAGGGGAACAGGAGCCACAGCCCCGGCAGCCGGCAGGAGAAGCGGGAGGAGCGCUGACUAACGGCGGGGAGCGGCUUUGGCAGGCGGCGAGCGGCAGCCGGCGCCACUCCCUCCUUCCUCGCUGAGUUCCCGCCCCGGUGUAUCAGGUGCAGCAGCUCCCCCUAGGCGGCCCCAGCUCCACGCCGCCCGGCCCGUCUCGAUUCGACCCGGCCGAGCCGUCCCGCCGCGCUCCGCCCCCUGCCCGCCCCCUGCGGGGGGAUGGCGCGCUGCCCGGCCCGCUACGGGUGAGGCCUUGGGGGUAAAGUUUGGAGAGCGUUCUGCGUGAGGACCGGGAGCCAGGGGACACCCAGCUCCAGCUCAGGUGUGGGGUUAGCGGUGCCAGAGCUUGGUUCCUUGUCUGAAAUGACCGUUAAAUUGCAAGUUAUCAGCGUAAGGAAAAAGAAAAAAAAAUCAUGUUUUCAUAGUUUGCGUGUGGACGUGCUGGUAAUUCCCACUCCCAUCGGCUGUGUUUCAGAUCCCAAAUUAAAUCUUGAGAAAGGAUGGGAUGCCCAGCCUUCAUUUCAUCUCUGUUUAUUUUGUGUAAUUAGCAUUACAGCACUGAGAAUGCCAGAGGUGCCUCCUCUGUUAAAAACAGCCACCAAAGCUCAGUGCCUUGAUUCCAGAAUAGGUGCAUUUGGAUGCAGGGACAGUUCUAACAGCAGUUGGAACCUGGGAGAGCUCACUUGGAAUAUGAGAAAGAGCAGGGAGAUUUCCUCACUUCAUAGAUGUUCGACUUGAGGAACAGCAGUGGGAACAGAAGUGAUGGGACUGCUUGGUCCUAAGAGGAUGGGAUUGUAAAAAUGUUUAUCUCCUGAUAUAUCACCACCUCAUAUGGUCAAAUGAGCUACUGUGAAUCUUCCCAGACAUCAUCUCUGAGAAAGUGUCUUUGCUCUGCCUGUUGAUUCCCAUUGGAAUUUCUUUCACAAUGUUUUGAAUCUUUCCCCUAAUCGUUGUCAUUUGUACUCCUGACUGAGUGCGUUUCCUCAUUCAUAUAUUUUAACACAUCUCAUAUGCCUUCAAGCGUCAACAGAAAUGCAUUUUUCAUUGGCUGGAUUGAUGUUGCUGUUUUUUCAUUGCAUUUCUAAUGUGACAUGCUUUUGGGAUUUUUAUUUUUUAUUUUUUCAUACUCUUCUCAAAAUGGCAAGGUAUUCAGAGAGAGCAAGCUGGUUCAUUUUAUUCUGCUGUAUUAAGAGAAUGUCUCUAACUGCAAUGUUAGAGCGAAUGUUAGGUCACUCUGGAAGUAACGUUUCAUAUUUAUUCCUAUGAAAAUUACAACAGAUACAAAGAGUACCAUAACACUCUGUGAUAGAGACAAUUCUCAGCUACAAAGCACUAUUUUUCAACAUAGUCACCACCACUAGCUAUGCAUGUUUGCCAGGGAUGAACAAGAGCCUGUAUGCCACUCUCAUGAAUUCUGCAAACUGCUAUCAUCACCACUGAAAUGCACCACUCACUGCUUCACUGUGCUUACAUCCACUGUUUGGUCUCCGUCAACGUUCAGCAAGCAUCAGUGAAUGUCAGUGGGUGCCAUUUCUUCCACAUGGAGGAAUUCAAUGACAGACAGAAAGAGAUGGGGCUGUUCAGCCCAGAGAAUAGAAGGCUGUGGGAAGACGAUUAUAGACUUUAGUAUCUACAAGGGGACUAUAAGAAAGAAGGGGACAGACUCUUUAGCAGCAUCUGUUGUGAUAGUGUAAGGGGAAAUUGUCUCAAAGUAAAGGGGGGGGGAUUUAGAUUGGACAUAAGGAAGAAUUUUUUUUUACAAUAAGGGAAGUGCAGCACACUGGCACAUGUUGCCCAGAGAGCUGGUGGAUGCUUUGCUCUGGAGAUAUUCAAGGUCAGGCUGGUCAGGGCUCUGAGCAAUCUAAUCUAGUUGUAGGUAUCCCUGUUCAUUGCAGAGGAGUUGGACUAGAUGACUUUUGAUGGCCACUUCCAACUCAAACAAUUCUAUGAUUCUGUGAUUCAUAUGCACUUCCGUGUCAGAUGCCAUUCUGUCAGGCAGCCCCUCUGCUGCCAUAUGUUGCACGGCAACAAAAUGUAAUGGAGUAUUGGUGCGAAGGUUCAACCCUUACUGCCAUACCACCCAACAUCCAUCUGUGAUGUCAUGGGCCAACAUCAUAAAACAGGAGGCAUUAAUUUCAUAGUAGCUCUCAGAAUUAAUUGCAGAAGUCUGCAUUUAAAAAUGGGAUGUAUGGGAAUUUACAGAACACAUCAAGAAGUCAAAGUUUGAGCUACAUCUGCACACAUCGAAUAUUUUGUUUAGUUCAAAGGCCAACUAGAAGGCCUUAGCCACAUCUUCUACACUAUGGAUGGUCAGUAGUUCCCCUACCAGCAGGCAAGGCAGCUAAUACAGGAAGUGUCACUGCAAUUCCAGGUGAGUGGCUGCUUCCAGCACUCUCCUACUUCAGGCUUUCACCUUCCUGUGGCCCAUUUAGUACUGCAAACACCAGGACAAGGCAGUCACCAGGAGUAGUCCUGCAGUUCCUAUGUCUUAAAUACCAGUCCUUUCCUCUCCUCACUUUUUCUGAGCUGACUUUAAGUAGAAAUGCAGGUUAGGAAGGGUAGCUAUUGCUUGUUGAGAGCAAAAUGAGGCAAAUUCUAAAUAUCAUUUUUUCCCCAUUUAAUAUUCCAGCAAGGUUAUUUUAUUAUUAUAGGAGAACAUAGAGUUAUACUCUUUUCACAGCUUUCAUGCAAAUUGUUCAGAUCUUCCUCUUAAAUAAAGAAAAAAACAGUCUUCUGUGGUGGUUAUUU